ensembl:lncRNA
AGUUUUAUAAAGGGUGAGUGUUUAAUAAGGGGUGAGUGUUUAAUAAAGGGUUAGUGUUUAAUAAAGGGUGAGUGUUUUAAUUAAGGGUGAGUGUUUAAUAAGGGUGAGUGUUUAAUAAGGUUAGUGUUUAAUAAGGGGUGAGUGUUUAAUAAGGGGUGAGUGUUUAAUAAGGGGUUAGUGUUUAAUAGGGGUUCGGUGUUUAAUAAGGGGUGAGUGUUUAAUAAGGGGUGAGUGUUUAAUAAGGGGUUAAUGUUUAAUAAAGGGUCGGUGUUAAUUAAGGGGUGAGUGUUUUAAUAAGGGGUUAAUGUUUAAUAAAGGGUCGGUGUUUAAUAAGGGGUAAU